rnacentral:rRNA from 1 species
UAGCGCCGCAUGAGAGAGACCAGAUCAUUUGGUGGUAAGAAUAUGCAAGAAUACUCAAAGCGAGGAUCAUUGCGUUGGCACACAGAAGUGUGUGGAGAAAGGGGUUAAUCAGUGUGAUAACAGCCGUAUGCACCUGAACGGUCAAGUAAGAGGAUCGAAGAUCCCAUAAAUAGGUACCGAAUUGUAGUAAUUGGAGAUUCGCAAGCGAUGUUUACACUAUAGGUAUGCAACACAGCUUCGAGCAGAGUUUCGCUGCGUUGUUUCGGGAGGAAUGAUACACGGGCCAGCGAACUGUUUCCGGUGCGACGGAAAAGAUCGACUGCUUUCGUCUUUGGCGAUCAAUGGGACAUCCUUGGGAGUCAACGAGGGUAUUACCCGGAACCCGAAGGCGCGAGCACUGUCACCUGUGCCUCGCGCGCGGCCUGAACGACUGUCAGAUUCUUGUAAACGACCCGUGUAUUGAACAAUCUGGCAGGGGGCCGCGAGGAAACAUGUUAUAUGUUCUCUUUUCUUGUUAAGGGAAGUGUUGAGAUACCUGUGAAAUUCGGCUCUGAUCCGGAGAUGUAGGGCAUUGCCCGAGACUACGGUAGAGCUGCCGCGUCUACGGCGGCGUCGGUGCGCUCCGGCUGGUCCUUGAAAAUCGGGGGAAGUGUUGGGACUCUCGCCUCGGGUCGUACCCAUGACCGCAGCCGGUCUCCAAGGUGAAUAGCCCUCGGCCGAUAGAACAAUGUAGGUAAGGGAAGUCGGCAAGCCGGAUCCGUAACUUCGGGAGAAGGAUUGGCUCUGAAGGGCUGGGUCGGUCGGGCCGGGGCAGGAAGCCGGGCUGGAGCCGCAGCGGUGGCUGGGCCGAGCCGCUUGCCAGUUUCGGCUGGCGGGUCGGGCGAGCCGGACUGGCGCGGGGUCCGCCGGUGGACACGUCCCGGCUGCGCGGUCGAGCAAUCGGCCUGGCCGCGCGCCCAACAGCUGACUCAGAAAUGGCACGGACCAGGGGGAAUCCGACUGUCUAAUUAAAACAGAGCAUGCGAUGUCGCAACCGGGGCAUUGACGCAAUGUGAUUUCUGCCCAGUGCUCUGAAUGUCAAAGUGAAGAAUUUCAACGAAGCGCGGGAUAAUACGGCGGGAGUAACUAUGACUCUCUUAAGGUAGCCAAAUGCCUCGUCAUCUAAUUAGUGGACGCGCAUGAAUGGAUUAACGAGAUUCCCACUGUCCCUAUCUACUAUCUAGCGAAACCACAGCCAGGGACCGGGCUUGGCAGAAUCAGCGGGGAAAGAAGACCCUGUUUGAGCUUGACUCUAGUCUGACCUUGUGAAGAGACUGAAGGGGUGUAGGAUAGGUGGGAGGCUGCUCGCACCGCCGGUGAAAUACCACUACUCUCAUCGUUCUUUACUUAUUCGGUGAGUCCGGGAAGCGGGCGUUCGUCGGUUCGUCCGAUUUUCUGGUGCUAAGGGGCCGCCCUCGCCGGGGCCACGACCCGCUCCGAAGACAGGCGUCAGGCGGGGAGUUUUGACUGGGGCGGGUACAUCUGUCAAAUGGUAACGCAGGUGUCCUAAGGCGAGCUCAGCGAGGACGGAACCUCGCGUAGAGCAAAAGGCAAAAGCUCGCUUGAUCUUGAUUUUCAGUACGAUACAGACCGCUGAAAGCGUGGCCUAUCGAUCCUUUUGACCGUCGGAGUUCGACGCAAGGGGUGUCAGAAAAGUUACCCACAGGGAUAACUGGCUUGUGGCAGCACAGCGUUCAUAGCGACGUUGCUUUUUGAUCUCUCCGAUGUCGGCUCUUCCUAAUCAUUGUGAAGCAGACAUUCACCAAGCGUUGGAUUGUUCACCACCAAAUAGGAACGUGAGCUGGGUUUAGACGUCGUGAGACAGGUUAGUUUACCCUACUGAUGAAAGGUUGUCGCUACGGCAAUUCUGCUCAGUACGAGAGGAACCCGCAGAUUCGGACCGUUGGUACACGCGCUUGGUCGAGCGGCCAGUGGCGCGAAGUACCAUCCGCGGGAUUACGGCUGAACGCCUCUAAGUCGGAUCCAACCAACCGGUACGCGGCAAUACCGCCGGCUCCCCGGCCUCGGGAGGCCUGCACUAGCGCCAGCUAGGGACAGGGCCGCAUCCCGCGCACUCUGGACCCGGAGAGUACGAGCUCCGGGCCGGAUCGCGGGAAAUACCAAUUCCGCCCGUGGAAGGGGCGCAAAUCACUUGCAGACGACUUGGGUAUGGAUCGAGGUGUCGUGCACAGUAGAGCAGCAUCUUCGCUGCGAUCUGCUGAAACUAAUCCUUCGAUCCGAGGGAUUUGUCCGC